rnacentral:lncRNA from 1 species
UUACCUGACUAACAUAGUGAAUCAAGUUUUGUUCCGAUCGCUUAAUGAUUAGAGUUGACCCAUGCUUACUAAGAAAUCAGUUUGACUAAUUUAGAUGCCCCGAGUUUGACUUCUGUUUAUUCUCAACAUGAUUUGGUGAAGUCAGAAGGAGAAUUGAUGACUUGUCAGUUGGACCAGCUUGUUUCUAGUCUAUCCUGAUCUAACUUAGUGAAGUCAGUGGGAGGAUUGAAAUUAGUUGGUCUAUGUAUUUAAUUUUGUUAAAUUAUGUUAAUCAAAUAUUCUAAAUUAUUAGGUUUAUAAAAUG